GACGAACCGUGCGAACGUUGUUCGGAAUCACUGGGCAUAAAGGGCGCGUAGGCGGCUUAUCAAGUCAGGGGUGAAAUCCGGCAGCUUAACUGUCGAAGUGCCCUUGAUACUGGUGAGCUCGAGGGAGAUAGGGGUGUGUGGAACUUCCGGUGGAGCGGUGAAAUGCGUUGAUAUCGGAAGGAACGCCGGUGGCGAAAGCGACACACUGGAUCUCUUCUGACGCUGAGGCGCGAAAGCCAGGGGAGCAAACGGG
rnacentral:rRNA from 1 species